rnacentral:rRNA from 1 species
GGAAUAUUUGUCAAUGGGGGCAACCCUGAACCAGCCAUGCCGCGUGCAGGACGACUGCCCUAUGGGUUGUAAACUGCUUUUGUUAGGGAAUAAACCCCACUACGUGUAGUGGGCUGAAUGUACCUAAAGAAUAAGGAGCGGCUAACUCCGUUCCAGCAGCCGCGGUAAUACGGAGGAUCCGAGCGUUAUCCGGAUUUAUUGGGUUUAAAGGGUGCGUAGGCGGCACUUUAAGUCAGGGGUGAAAGACGGCAGCUCAACUGUCGCAAUGCCCUUGAUACUGAAGUGCUUGAAUGCGGUUGAAGACGGCGGAAUGAGACAAGUAGCGGUGAAAUGCAUAGAUAUGUCUCAGAACACCGAUUGCGAAGGCAGCUGUUUAAGCCGUUAUUGACGCUGAUGCACGAAAGCGUGGGGAUC